UACGGAGGAUCCGAGCGUUAUCCGGAUUUAUUGGGUUUAAAGGGUGCGCAGGCGGGAGAUUAAGUCGGCGGUGAAAUUUUGCAGCUCAACUGUAAAAGUGCCUUCGAUACUGGUUUCCAUGAGUGUGGAUGAAGUAGGCGGAAUUUGUGGUGUAGCGGUGAAAUGCUUAGAUAUCACGAGGAACUCCAAUUGCGCAGGCAGCUUACUAAACCACUACUGACGCUCAGGCACGAAGGCGUGGGGAUCAAACAGGAUUAGAUACCCU
rnacentral:rRNA from 1 species